rnacentral:lncRNA from 1 species
AAUGAUGAAUGUUUUUAAGGCGUAUAUGAUAAUGAAAGAAGGGAUGAUACCAAAACAAGUUGCGGGGUUCUUUGCUUCUCCUUCGACAAAUUCUUCUACAACAACUGUAAGUAAUGUUCUUACAUUUCUAUUUUCAUUUGAUUUGUAUAUUGCUUCUCCUUUAUUUAAUGCAUUUUUUGUUGACAUAUAUUAACUGAUGAUAAGUACAGUUUGAAACAUAAUAUUUGCCAAGGAUUUUACAUUUUUUCAUAUCACUUGAUUAAUUUUAUACUUUAUUUUUUUAUGCAGCCAAGUGAUGCUGCUAGUGAACCAAUUCCACCUAUGCACACAAGAAGAUCAUGCAGUGGUGAUAGUAAUCCUAGCCAUGACAACCGUUGAUUAUAUUGUAGUGAACCAAUUCCGCCUAUAUUCUUAGCUAAUUAAUUUGAUGACAAGAUUGUGUGAUUGGAGGGGAUGUUAAAAUGUUGGAUUGGAUAUUUU